ACAACCAUAGGUUAAUGGUAGACUGUUCCUCUACCACAGGAAGUGUGUCAGUUCAAUUCUGACUGGUUGUA